UGCAUAUCAAUAAGCGGAGGAAAAGAAACCAACCGGGAUUACCUCAGUAACGGCGAGUGAAGCGGUAACAGCUCAAAUUUGAAAUCUGGCUCCUGCGGAGUCCGAGUUGUAAUUUGUAGAAGAUGCUUUGGGAGGUAGGCUCGGCCUAAGUUCCUUGGAACAGGACAUCAGAGAGGGUGAGAAUCCCGUAUGUGGCCGUGGCCUACGCCCGUGUAAAGCUCUUUCGACGAGUCGAGUUGUUUGGGAAUGCAGCUCAAAAUGGGUGGUAAAUUUCAUCUAAAGCUAAAUAUUGGCCAGAGACCGAUAGCGCACAAGUAGAGUGAUCGAAAGAUGAAAAGCACUUUGGAAAGAGAGUUAAACAGUACGUGAAAUUGUUGAAAGGGAAGCGCUUGCACCCAGACUUGGGCGUCGUCGAUCAUCCGAGGGUCUCCUCGGUGCACUCGGCGAGGCACAGGCCAGCAUCGGUUUGGAUGGUUGGAGAAAGGCUCUAGGAACGUAGCUCUCUUCGGGGAGUGUUAUAGCCUAGGGCGUCAUGCAGCCCAUCCGGACCGAGGACCGCGCCUUCGGGCUAGGAUGCUGGCGUAAUGGUUGCAAGCGACCCGUCUUGAAACACGGACCA
rnacentral:rRNA from 1 species